GUGUACACGUGGCAAGAUAGUAUUAGAAGGAUCUUCUGAACAUGAUCGGGGCUAAUUUGGGAGUUUCCUGGCUGAGAGUAUUGAGUGAUCUGUUACGCGAAAAUAGCGUAUGGGAUAAUCAACGGUUAGGCAGGCGAGUUAAAUGGGAAGCAAGAUGGAUGCGGGUCCCAUUGAUAUAACAAGGAGAAAUUAAAAACAAAAAGAAUGUCCGACCUGCCGGAAUCGAACCAGCGACCUAAAGAUUUCUUUGGGAUAACCCACUACAGUCUUCCGCUCUACCAACUGAGCUAAGGUCGGUUUGCUAAUUUUGGUAGCAAUAAGCUUUAUAUAAUUAAGAUACGCAAAUGGGGAAAACUUCUUUAAUGGCCUAUUAAAAUGUAAAAAUAGUAUUCUUAACCAAAUCGAAAAAGAAUCUAGCUGGAUACAAUUAGAAGACCAUCACCACUGAAAGCACCCAGCCCAUAUCACAACUGAAAGCGAUUUAAGCCCGUAAAUUAGAAAAAGGAACCGGGUCUCAUAACUUUGAUUUCACUAAUUUAAUUUGGUUUUCGUCCGGUUUAAUCUAGUCUCUUCAAUUUUCUAAAAGUCUUCACUGGCAGAGCAAAAAAGUUUACAAGUUUUUCAUCUGCCGUGGGAAACACUAACUUCACCGCCUGGUUUGUUUUACAUUCCUUUAAAGAGUUCCUGAAUAUUCGUAAUCAACGGCAGCUCCACUACUAGAAACGUGUCAACAAGAUUGUCUAACUCUCCACGUGGCAUUACGUCAACCUCCUGUCUAAACGGUUAUGUUAUCUUUCGCUCCACAAAUGGACACUACUUUGCCUUGCUCCCAGCUUCCGUAGACAGAUGCUUUGAUCCUUUGGAAUCCUCCCCUAGUUUCAGUUUAAACGCAUCAAAUAGUAAACUCUAAACGUCGUCGUUUCGCUUGAUUCAUUCCUUCUCCGCCUUAACUUUUUUUCCAUUUUAGCUUCGUUCCUCGUAGCUCUCAGAAACAUACACCACCAGUCGAAAGAACAAAAUCUUUUCAUUUUUAAAUUUCAUUAUUUUAAUUAAAAAGUAUAUAAUUUAAAUAAAUAAUAAUUGUGAUGAGGGCGUUGAACUCGCGGCUGGUUCUGAUCGACAUCAACCUCUCAUGGCAAGCAUCUCGGCGAUUAAUCUCAGCCACCGCAACCGCUUUUUCAUCCGACUCCUCCUCCUCAUUCCGUCGAACACAUGGAGCACGUCAGAGAAUCUCUUCAUCCAAGUCUCCGGCGUCUCCGUUCCCGAUCCGGAGGCCGUCUGAUGGAUUCAGUUUCGAUAUAGGUACUUGAAGCUGAUCUCCUUCAAGUAGCUGAAGUUAUGGGGCUAGAAGAAGACAUAGAAGUGACAGAUGAUGUUGGAGAAGCAGAUGUCAAUUCUAGCCUCAAGUUCUGAACUGAAACAGAAUCCAUCAAUCCGUCGUCUUGGUAAAUAAUGUGUUGGUUAUUGUUACUCAUUUGCAAUGUAUGUUACAACAGCAGUGCUCUGUCUCCUUGUGCAAUCUGUAAAUAUAUCUUUACUCUCUUGCAUUUAUAAAAUAGAUUUUAUCAA